rnacentral:lncRNA from 1 species
CAAACUUUCAAACCAUUCCACUGAGCUUUCUGAAGUCUGGCCAGGUCUGCCCUAUUCUUGGUGACAGCCAUAUACUCUGUAACAGCUGCUGUAAGGAUGGAUACCUUGGUUUGCACGCCUCUGCAUGGUUGAUGACGCUCUCUCACCUACACCUCCUAAAUCCCUAAUUGAGCCACUCAAGGAGAUGGGGAUAGAGGAGAUAGAAAGAAACUAGGUAGAUAGUGAGGCUAAAAGAGUCAUCAACAAGGUUUCCCUUUUAACAAAAAGCAGCCCCCAAACCAUUUCUUUUCUAACAAAGAGCAGCCUAAAAAUUGGAGCUGCAAACAUAGAUAAGAAAAUCUGGAAGCUUGCACGGGUGAAUGCUGGCAACUGUGCCAAUAGAAAAGGGCUACCUGGGGGCCAGGUAUGUUCAACAUGGAGACUCUAUCUUUCCUUUUCUUUGUCACCACAUGUACAGUAAAGAAGCAGGCAACACGAUGCCAGCUAGGUAGAGAAACCAUCUGCAUAAUAAAAGAUUAGGAUGGGGCGGCCAGGUUUUUCAUGCAGUAUGCAAAUGACACACCUAGUCCGAACCAGUUUUUCGCACCUUAUGCAAAUGGCACACCUGGUCCAACCAAUCUUUCGUGCCCUUUGUAAAUCAGACACCUUUAUAGACUCCUCAAGCUCAUCUAUAAAACUCGUUGCAUUUCACCUUGGAACUGGCAGCCCGCUUCUCCGGUUCUUUCUCCGUCUCUUUCUCUGUCUCUUUCUCUCACCAAUGAAACUUCCGCUGUUAACCUCACUCUGGUGUGUCCGUGUCUUAGUUUUCCACGACCAUGAGACAAUGAAUCUCGGCUAUUUACCCCAGACAAUGACUGUGCUUCAGUGGCAGGACCCAUUUUCCAGAUGAAGAUGUUGAGGCUCACUCAGGACACAGAAGGAGCCAGCGGCAGAGCCAGAACUAGUGUCGGAUUUUAAAACAGGAAACCGGCUUUCCUUCUGCUGCAUUGCCCACCUGCCUUCUUUGAGUUUUAGCACGCGGCAAAAUCAGAACAGCCACAAGGACGGGCCUCAUCACAAAGGCUAAACUUGGAAAGGUGGAGUGAGUAUGCGGGCCGGGACUAGUCCUGCUCCAGGCUGCCAACAAGGCACAGAUCUUGCAGAAGUUCUAGGUGCAAUGUUUUAAGGGGAAGACUUACACUAUGAAGCUAGCCCAGAAGAGGGUGACUAGAGUACUGAGGAGUUUCUACCUGGAAGGGCUGUAAGGAAGACAACUGCUAUGUUGUGAGCGGCUCUAUGGAGAGGCCCAUGUGGAGGGAAGUGAGGAAGGCCUCUGGCCAACAGUCCAGGAGGAAGUGAAGCCCUCAGUCCAACAGCCUGUGUGGAACUGAACCCUGCAAACAACUCUGUGUGUGAGCUUGGAAGUGGAUCCAUAUUCAGUCAAACCUUGAGAUGGGACACCAUGCUCUGCUAACACUUGAUUGUGGUCCCAGCUAGGCCACUGCUGAAGUCUUGACUCAGAGAAACGAUGAUAUAGUAAAUGUUUGUUGUUUCAAGUUGGUAAGUUUUGGGAUAAUUUUUUAUAUAGUGAUAAUUUUUUAUAUACUUUAAAAUAACACAUUGCCCUAUCCUUUGGUUACACUUUUCUCUUGGAACUCUGCUUGCCCAUAUAUUACAGAAAUAUUUUUCAGAUCAUGGGCUGAAAGGUGGAUUAUGGAUGCAAUGUUUAAAUUUAGCAAUGUCAUUUAUGACUGUUCAUAUGAGCUUUGCUGCAUAAAAUGUUGAUAUUAAUUUGUUUCCCUUUAAGACAUUCUUAAUGUUUACCUCUCAGUAUUUUCUUUGUAAUCAAUUAAUGUAAGAUGAAUAUAGUUUGUAGGUUUUACCUUUCUUGAUUCGUAUACAAAACACACAACAUCCAACCAUUGUUAUUUAAAGAUUAUCUAGGAGGAGAUGAUGGAAACUCUGUUUUGGGCCACCUUCUUUACACAUUGGGUCUAUUUCCCCUAACUUGAGUAUAUAUUAAACUAGUGGGGGAUUGAGCUACAAAAAUGCUACUUGGUGAGAAUUUUAUUAAUACAAAUACUCAACUCUGAAGUUACGUUUUUGUGGAAAGUUAUCACUUUGGAAUUUGAAUUUUCUUGGAGCUAAGCCACUGGUAGUUGUAAAAGCUACACCUGUAAAUUUGCUCCCUAGAAGAUACUUUCGUUUAGUGACCACUUGUUUCUCUGUGGAUAAAUUCAAUUAUAAAUUACAAUCGAAUUGACGUUUUCAUAGCAUCCUUCACUCUCCAAGUAUCUCAAGUCCUCUGUGAAUUAUAAAGUAAUUACAGUGCUCAAAGGACAGUUUCAUAAUUGUGUCCAUGAGCACAGACUUUCCUCUAUGUUCGAGAAGGGCUCAUUCCCAGCCGGGAACAUUAAGUUGGAUUUUAUUGAGACUGGGGACUGCUAGUCCAGACAGCUGGGUGAUCCCCUGCGCUAUUUUGAAAAGUAUCCUGGGAUCUUUAAUUUCCACCUGGAUGGUCAGGGAGGUGAGAGAACGGCCCUCACUGGGUGUGACCUUGUAUCCCACUUGGGGUCUUGAACCAGGGGACCCCCAACCCCAGAGGUGAGACAUGCAAUAUGGUCAAUUAUACAACCUCUUAAUUAUUUUUUGCUGAAUCUCAAGUGAGUUCUCAUGGCCUGCUCUCUCCCGGGUGGGUUCAGAAGGUGGCCAAGAAGAAAUGUUAGAAAAUUCCCAGAGAGCCAUUUCAUGAGAAUGUUUUCUUUGGUUUAUACCUGAUACUGUUUUGUUUUUGUUGUUGCUUUUUAAUAACUUUUUUUUCUUUUUGUGGGGUCAUUUGCGUAAUACACAGGUGACGAACACUCAAGGUUAUUUGGUCGCAUGCCACCAAAUAACUUUCCUUUGGCACAUCUGCAGUGAAGGAGUCUUUCUGUCUGUCUCCUUUUGUUCCUCAUCAUCUAUUAGCUUGGCACAGCUGACUGAGCUGUUAAAUGAUUACUGCAUAUUUUGUACCUCACCUUGAGAGGCUUUGGUAUAAAAAGGUGCUAAUUAAGCUGAAGCUUCUGGCCCUCUUGCCUAUGUGGGCCCCAGGAAGCGAAGCAAAAAGACUUUAGGGAGCUGGAGCUUGUGUGUGUGUGUGUGUGUGUGUGUGUGUGUGUGUGUGUGUGUGUGUGUGUGUGUGUUUCGUUUUCAGCAUUUUGAGGAAUUGUUACUGGAACUUAUAAAAUAAUUGUUUUAGACCUUAUAAACACAGCAAAUUCUUCAAACUACGUAUGAGGCUGACUCAAAAAGCCACGUAAAGGUAGCUUGGCGAAUCAACUAACUGCUGACCAGUUUGUGGUGAUCGUAAGUCUAUAUAUGCUGGAUUUGGCGAUCGUAAGUCUAUAUAUGCUGGAUUUGAAUAUUUUCUGUAUUUAAAGAAAAAUAAGUACAUUCUAAGAAUAGUUGUCAUCUCCCUCUGUAGACUUGCCCCGUAGAUAUUUGAAAUGGGGAUUAACAUAUUUAAGAGUAGCAGGAAGUGCUAUUUCAUCAGUGUCUAGAAUGGGAGGCGAAUUCAGUCCCUGCCUGGACUUGUUGACUAGCUCGCUGGGUUGUGAAAACCACGGCAUUCUCCUGGGAAUUUGUUCCAGGGCACUGACUGCAUUUCUUCUGAAGCUAAAGCACUUAGCUUUGCUUCCAUGCCUUUUAAUAUAAUUUGUAGGCUUCAGCAGAUUUCUAAAGUACACCACUUGAUAUCUUUCACAGCUCAAGGUAAAUUCUGCAGCACGAACUUAUAGAAUUUUUUUCUUUUACCUGGGGUGAGAACAUACCUUUUCCUAGUGCUAUUUUUUUUUUCUGGGCUACCUUUCAUCUGUUUACAUGAAUUCCACUUCUUCUCGCUGUGUUAAAGAAAUCCCCUAAGCUGUCUACAUAGGUGUGAAACUUUUGGUUGUGAUUUCCUUGAAGUUAGUUGGAACUGGAACAUUUUUUUCUGUGUCCUGAAUGGCUCACACAUUCCCUAACACAGAAUGGAUACUCAGCGAACAGUUGUUGAAUCAGUGAACGGUAAUGGCUCAGUUCUGUCAGACAAUGGAUUGAAUUAUUUUUACACCUUUAAUUCACUCAUGGACUGAAUUAACCUACUCAUGGGCUGUUUGGGGCAUCAAGUGAUAUUUAUACAUUUCUGAAGAAUGUGGAAUCACCAGGGUUAACAGUGUUUGCAGGUGGCGUUCGAUUGCAGGGGCCCAAGGAACCACGGCUGAAUUCCGCAUGGACAUAGGCCAUUUUCCACCAGCAAAGUUAUGAGAACUUUUUUUGUUUUGGUAACUGAUGUGAAAUUUUCAGUUCCGAAUGACAUCCAGAAACUCUCCUUCUGCAGCAGAUGAAUGUUUUGAGGGAAUUUGAGAGGAGGGUUUGUCUUUUAUCUCUCACCUGCACGAGGACACUUGCAGUCUCUUAAGAGAUGUUCUCUUUUUGAAAUGGUGGAAGGACAGAAGCAUCAGCCAGCCCGUUCAUGCUUGGGGACAGAGAGGGAGCUCAGAGCUUAGGGGAGCACAGGUCACUCUAAUGAAUGACAGCUGUAAUAAUAAAGACAUGCCAUCCAUGCUACUUUUUGCAGAAACCAGAAACAUCCUUGUGAAAGUUAAAGGGAAAAGAAAAACGUGUACUUUGAGGGGGGUGUUAACGGGGGACAGGAGGUGGCGACAUAAAAGACUGGUUUAAUGUGUCUCGUUGUAGCCCCUAAGGCUUUACCUGACCCCAUCACUGUCACAACACCUUCUUCGGGACUGACAGUCUUGGUAAUUGAUGGGUUGGUGGGGGCUUUUUUCUGCAAACACAUUAAGGCAGGAGGGAAUACUCUGGCCCCCACCUCCCCACGCCUGGCACGGGGGACCUGGAGGCGAGCAGACACCAGGCCCGGCGGUGUUGGGGGCAGAAGGGAUCAAUUCUGUCAACCAGACUGCCCAGCUACUGUCAGGCACUGGGACCCUUCACCUGCUCCUUGGAGUCAUUAGAACUCCCAAAUCUCUUUGCAGGCCUUUUCUAUUAGACACAUACUCCCAUGUUUUGAUUUUUUGCUCCCAAAGUCAUUUUUUUAAAUAAUUACCUGCAUCGAACCACACUUACCAUCUGUGGGCUGAGAGCGGGCAAAUGAUUUAUUAGUCUUGGUUUCUAACGGUGCUGAGCAGCUUGGGAUCGAUCUUGCUGGUGACACACUCGGCAGAUGCACCGAUGGGUGGGAGGGUCAAUGUCAGGAUGAAGCUUCUUGCGGAGCUGACAUGCACGUGGGGACCCCAGGUGUGGUGUUUAGUUGGUAGACUGUGACAUUGCAAAAGUGGAGUCUCAAGCCAUGGCGGAUAACAGGCGGCAGAAAAAGCAGUGAGGGAGCUUCUUGGGAUGUUUUACUUUAAGUAGAAAGUAAAACUGUGCAUGAAAAGAGGGGACAGAGUAUGCAACCCAAAUCAUCGCCAAGGCUCUUGGUUUCUUCUGUGCACACUGCCUGCCUUGUAUCCAAGCGUUUGACUGUGCAGAGGCCAGUCAUACUGGGGGACCCUGAGCACUACCCUUGGCAUUUGGGUAUAUCCUGAUCAAUAUAGCCAUUUCCACUGCUUGACAUUAUGUUUUGGGGGCUAGUUUUUUAAAGAUCAAUGAUUGAAUUGCUGCUCGGCUGAUUGGAUAUGUCUUCUCGGAGACUCACCUGUCCUCCCCGAAGAGAUGCUGACUACACAACAGCAGUCACUGUGCUGGGCACACGGGCAGUGUUCAGGAGACGUGGCUUCCUUUCUUCUUCUUUCAUUUCUUCCUGCCCAGAACAGCAAGGCUGAGACUGAUAAUAAAAUUCCUGGAACAUGGAGAAACUCAUGUGGGGAGAAAAGAAGAAAUGUAUUGUGACUUCCAUGGGCUUUUGGCACUUUUGGACCUCCCUCCUCCUCUUUUCCAUAAAAAAUGUAUUUUAAGACAUAUUGGUAUAAAGAUGAGAUUAUUCAUAGUACAUAUUAAAAUGUUUUCCCCUACCUAAAAGUUUGUGGUUUUAUUGUCUUCUUGUUUUUAAAAUAAAUUAAAAUAUUUUCAAAGGCCGUUAGAAGAACCGUGGGCCCUGGGCUUGGUGCCUGCUGUGCCUCAUAAAUCAGGCCUGGAGAAGAGACAUCAGUGACAUUUUAGUGUCAGGUAGAAAAUGUAAAAUAUCAUGAUUGUUUUCCAAUGAUAUACUAAGUAAGACACAUAAGAUGUGUUUUAAUUUUUUUCUUGAUGUAUGCUGUUGUCUUUUAGUUAUAAAUGCUGAGUACUGUUAAAAGAUAAACUGAGGCACAAUAAAAUUUGAAGAGUUUAUUUGAGCAAACAAUGAUUUGUUACCGAAACACCAGGGGUUCAUCUGGGUCCUGCUGCUUGCCACACAGAAAGCCAAUCACUGAG